AGCCCGUUGGUGAAGUGGUUUAACACACUGCGUUCUCAGCGCAGCAUUCAGGGGUUCGAACCCCCUACGGGUUACCA
rnacentral:tRNA from 1 species